UGAAUAAUGGUGGUCUUUCUUGG
rnacentral:piRNA from 1 species